rnacentral:siRNA from 1 species
UCUAUUUUGGUACCUCUGUUC